GAUGAACGCUGGCGGCGUGCCUAAUACAUGCAAGUCGACGUUAGUGGCGAACGGGUGAGUGACACGUGGGUAACCUGCGCAUCAGAAGGGGAUAACACUUGGAAACAGGUGCUAAUACCGUAUACUGAUGGAUGGACCCGCGGGGCAUUAGCUAGUUGGAGAGGUGACGGCGAACCAAGGCCACGAUGCAUAGCGGGCCUGAGAGGAUGAUCAGCCACAUUGGGACUGAGACACGGCCCAGACUCCUACGGGAGGCAGCAGUAGGGAAUAUUCGGCAAUGGGCGCAAGUCGGACCGAGCAACGCCGCGUGUGUGAAGAAGGGUUUCGGGUCGUAAAGCUCUGUUAGUAGAGAAGCGGUAUCUAACGAGAAAGCCACGGCUAACUACGUGCCAGCAGCCGCGGUAAUAC
rnacentral:rRNA from 1 species